rnacentral:rRNA from 1 species
AUUGAACGCUGGCGGCAGGCAGAACACAUGCAAGUCGACCGAGUGGCGGACGGGUGAGUAAUGUCUGUGAAACUGCCUGACUGAGGGGGAUAACUACUGGCAACGGUAGCUAAUAACGCAUACCAUCAGAUGUGCCCAGAUGGGCGUUGCGAGUUGGAGGGGUAACGGCUCACCAAGGCGACGAGCCCUAGCUGGGCUGAGAGGAUGACCAGCCACACUGGACCUGAGACACGGUCCAGACUCCUACUGGAGGCAGCAGUGGGGAAUAGUGCACCAUGGGCGAAAGCCUGAUACAGCCAUGCCGCGUGUAUGAAGAAGGCCUUCGGGUGGUAAAGUUCUUUCAGCGGAGAGGCGUUACCCGCAGAAGAAGCCCCGGCUAACGCCGGGCCAGCAGCCGCGGUAAUUC